rnacentral:rRNA from 1 species
UACACUCCUGCGGGAGGCAGCAGUGGGGAAUAUUGGACAAUGGGCGCAAGCCUGAUCCAGCCAUGCCGCGUGAGUGAUGAAGGCCCUAGGGUUGUAAAGCUCUUUCACCGGUGAAGAUAAUGACGGUAACCGGAGAAGAAGCCCCGGCUAACUUCGUGCCAGCGGCCGCGGUAAUACGAAGGGGGUUAGCGUUGUUCGGAUUUACUGGGCGUAAAGCGCACGUAGGCGGACUAUUAAGUCAGGGGUGAAAUCCCGGGGCUCAACCCCGGAACUGCCUUUGAUACUGGUAGUCUUGAGUUCGAGAGAGGUGAGUGGAAUUCCGAGUGUAGAGGUGAAAUUCGUAGAUAUUCGGAGGAACACCAGUGGCGAAGGCGGCUCACUGGCUCGAUACUGACGCUGAGGUGCGAAAGCGUGGGGAGCAAACAGGAUUAGAUACCCGAGUAGUCCC